rnacentral:lncRNA from 1 species
GUCAAUCAUAAACGUUCCUUGAGUUCAUCUCUCAAUAAUCAUCCAUUCAAUCAGCUCUUUUCGACUGUUCAACCUGAGUCCGUAUGUCUAAGGUCUCAGUCCUGUAUAUUAACAUAGAUUAAGUCUCUAGUUUUAAACAAAGAGUACAUAGAGUCGUAAUGUAAAUGGGAGAGCUGGCGCCAUAUGUUCUGCUCGACGAGUUCCAAGUCCGGUGUGCGCCGAGUUCGGGUCACUUUUUCGAUACAUGUUCGAUCCAAAAUGGCGGUGCGGAAUACAUGGUGAUCCCUAUCUUCUUUGCUUACAUCGGAUGACCGGGUACCCGUGUAUCGCAAACAAUCGAUUAUGUAUCGAAAAAGUGACCCGGCGUCACACAGGAGUCUCGGAAUUCGGGACCUGGAAAAUGCUUAAAAGUGGCGCCAGCUCACCCACUUACACUACGACUCUAUGUACUCUAUGGUUUUAAAAAAAGCAUCUCGUUCAAUGUGUAAUGUAAACUGCAAAUCAGCUCAGAGCAUUGUGUGUAUCAUAUUGAUUUUGCUCUGCGGAGCGGCAUUUUUAAAAUGCGUAUGAAUAGUCACUCUCAGAGGUGCAUCAUAUGGUUCACAUCAAUCUAUCAAUAAAACGUGGAGAAUUAAUUAACUUGGUUUUCUGCUUUGGUCCACUUCAAUGCAAUUGGGAACAUAUUUAUUGGCUGUUUUUUGCGGUUUCUCUUUUGGAUCUACCAACGCGCUGUUCUACGUAGAGUUCGAAGGGGUCAAUGAGAAAGGCAACAAGAACGAGCUUUGGCUUUUCGAAUGCCGGAGAAGAUUUCCCAAGAAACUUAGAUCGGUGAUGGAGGGUAAUCCGCAUGCCAUCCACGACCCGUCGGCAAUAGAUGGAGUUGAUGACGCAGUAUGGUGGAAGUAUGUUCAUUGCGAGCGACAUACGGAUGAGAAACGCAUCCGGAACAUCUACAGAACGGUCAACUUCAUCGCUGUCCGGGUUGAGCUGGACCCGGUGUCACUCCCUCACGCUAACCCUCCUCGUACUGUCCGUAUCGGCAUCCCUUUCCAGCCUCUGGACUACCCUCCUUUCCAGGAAGAUGCCCAAAAGAUCCAGUACGACGAUGAGAAGGUAAACGAUCUAUGCGAGAAGAAAGUGCUGGACUGCAGCAAUAAAGAAAGUUUCGUAAACUUUCUGAGCAUCACGAAUCUACAAAGCGUGAUGAAGCCAGACAUAACAGUCAUGGCUCGGCUGGCCACCUUCGUGAACAGCAUGAACAGGGUGGUGAAUAAUAUGUAUCAAGACGCCCGGCGUUCAGUCUUUGAAGGAUACCUGAAGUACAGAGGCCAGGCUCGUCAAACCCAGUUGAAGGCCAUCGCGCAGCAUCGGGUGGACAUCAAAGAGGGCACGGACCUACUCCUGCCGGAGAUGCUGGACCCUUGCUUCAUCAGCUCCUUCCAGAAGAAGACCAACGACACGACCGAGUUCGUGCAGAGUCUGGCAGACGACUACUGCACCAGCUACUGCAAAUUCCUCUCGGCGGCGGCGCGCUUCGUCAACUGCGCCACCCGCUACAAGUGCGACCAGCUCCUCUGGGGCAAGUGUCGGGAGUUCGCGGGGGCUCGCAACGUCUGUUUCUGCCUCCAAGCCCCCUACGUCCUCAGCUUCUGGGCCACCCGAGAGAUCGUUGCCAAUCAACGAUGGAUCCCGGGGGCCGGCUUCGUCAGGAUGACCCUCUGCAACAACGCUCUCCUAAACUACAAGUUCCUCUGAAGUCGCACUGGGAACACACUUAAAAAUAUAAAACUGCUGCCAUUGGCGAUCCUCACCAUGCCUCGUGUUAAAUGAGUUUUUAUUGAUUUUUUUCUUGUAGCAAAUCUUUCCACACGCCAAAUUAUUUUAUGCCCAAUAUUAACA